GCGCGUAGGCGGUGUACACAGUCAGGCGUGAAAUUCCCGGGCUCAACCUGGGGGCUGCGCUUGAUACAUGUGCGCUUGAGUUCGGAAGAGGGUCGUGGAAUUCCCAGUGUAGAGGUGAAAUUCGUAGAUAUUGGGAAGAACACCGGUGGCGAAGGCGGCGACCUGGUCCGAUACUGACGCUGAGGCGCGAAAGCGUGGGGAGCAAACA
rnacentral:rRNA from 1 species